AGGAGACAAGAGCCACGAAGCGGAUCAUCGCCACCUCGCUCCUGCUUCAGCCAUCGUCCUGCUGGCCCUGAAACUGCCCCGGUAGCACAUCGACGCCGAAUAUAUAUCAUAGGUGAAUACUGGUGAUUACAGUAAGGCGUGUCAGCUGCCAGGCCCCUUGUGCAGUGCUGGGGCUCAAGUCAGGAUUCGCGGCGUCAGGAGGAGCUAUAUAUAGCUUCUGUGACUCAAGAGGGGAGCGGCACAUCCGUCCGGCUUCUUUCUCCGCCAAGCCUUCACGUCGGCCAUUUAUCUUCGAAACACGCCCCCCACCCACUCUCAAUCCAAAGCCUUACAAGCAUGGAGGCACAAUCUUGUAAAUCCCAUGAUGCUGAAACCCAAGCCCAGCAGUCACCGAUGUUGUGGUUGAUGGUAGUGGCGUCAGGAAUGAUGAUGGUGCUCAUGCUGGUGCUGAUUGCGGUGAUGACGAGGAUGAAGAGGCAGAUGAAAGGGCAGCAGCGAGGGAUGACCAAAGAAGAGCCAAUCUACGAUGAGAUAGAAAUCGGCCCAAUGAGAGAGGACGCUCCAGGAAAAGCUCCCCCCGGAAAAAAAAUCGACGAAGACUUGUACGAAGCAGGCUACCUCAUUCCGGGAAAAGCUCCCCCCGGAAAAAAAAUCGACGAAGACUUGUACGAAGAAGGCUACCUCAUUCCGGGAAGAGAUCCCCCCGGAAAAAAAAUCGGCUCGAAGAAAGUUGACGAAAACAUCUACGACGACGGAUACCUCGCCCCAAAUGACGCUCCCAUCGGAAAAUAGAGCGGACCGUAGUGGGAUAGGGAUGAGGCCACCAAUCGUUCACUACCCCGGCGGACUGUGGCCACGGCUUCCUCUCACAUCCUGGCCACACUAUGAUGUCAAUAAUUAAAAGUAGGAUGAAUAAGACACCAGCAGAAAUUGGUUUACACAUAAUAUUAUUGCGGAGGACGAGUGGAACCUCUUUGACAGUCAUGUUGUGAGUGACAGUAUUAAAAAUUGGUUUACACAUAUAAUGGGGGUCGAGUGGAACAUCCUUAAUUGACGGUCCUGUGGUGAGUGGCAGUACUGAAGAAAUACACAAGAAAAGUUACAAUGAAUAGAGGGGAUGGUAGAGGUGGUAGGUACUAUAGAGGGGAGAUGGUGUUUUAUAUAUAUAUAUAUAUAUAUAUAUAUAUAUAUAUAUAUAUAUAUAUAUAUAUAUAUAUAUAUAUAUAUAUAUAUAUAUAUAUAUAUAUAUAAUUAACAUGUGGUGGGUAAGUGUAGUAAAUGGGAAGGUGUGGCCUACUGACCACUUGCCUACUCAUUAUGUUCUUAUGUUCUUUUAAUGAUGAUUGUGUAUAUUAUGAUAAUGAUGUUGCCCACGAUGAUGAACUUAAUGAUGAUAGCGAUGAUGAUGGUAAUGGUGAUCAUGAUGAUAAGGAUGAUUAUAACUAUAUUGCUAUUAUUAUUAUCAGUCAUUAUUAUUAUUAUUAAUAUUAUUAUUAUUAUUAUUAUUAUUAUUAUUAUUAUUAUUAUUAUUAUUAUUAUCAUCAUCAUUAUUACAAUUUUUAUUAUUAUUAUUAUUAUUAUUAUUAUUAUUAUUAUUAUUAUUAUUAUUAUUAUUAUUAUUAUUAUCAUCAUCAUUAUUACAAUUUUUAUUAUUAUUAUUAUUAUUAUUAUUAUUAUUAUUAUUAUUAUUAUUAUUAUCAUCAUCAUCAUCAUCAUCAUCAUCAUCAUCAUCAUUAUUAUUAUUAUUAUUAUUAUUAUUACUAUUAUCAUUAUUAUUAUUAAUAUCAUUAUUACCAUCGAUUGUACCCCAGCCAGGACUCCAACCACAUGCGUGGCGCCCGCUGCCAGUGAGUAUAAUCAACCUUCUUUGGCCUAUUAUUAUCAUUAUUAAAAACACUAUUGUUAUUAUCAUAAGGGUCAAGAAAAAGGCAAAUUGAAUGUUACAAAACACCGCAAUUGAAUUUGUGCGUUUGCGCCGCUGUUCGACUCGAAGUGGUUCGAUUCCGGUGCUGGGUAACAUUAUUAUUAUUAUUAUUAUUAUUAUCAUUAAUAUUAGCCUAUUAUUAUUAUUAGCAUUAAUAUUAGCCUAUUAUUAUUAUUAUUAUUAUUAUUAUUAUUGUUUUAUUAGCAUUAAUAUUAGCCUAUUAUUAGCAUCUGUACAUUACAUCUGUGCUGUUUAUCUCUCACCUACUUCUACCAACUAUGUAAAAUUCUUUGACUAUUUGAACUCUUUAAGUGGAGCACAUCUUGACCCACUCUCCCUUCGCUGAAAUCUCCAUCCUAGGAGAUUUCAAUGUUCACCACCAGCUUUGGCUUUCAUCCUCUUUCACUGACCAUCCUGGUGAACAAGCCUACAACUUUGCUAUCCUCAACGACCUAGAGCAGUUGGUCCAGCACCCUACACGUAUUCCCGACCGUCUUGGAGAUCGGCCCAACAUUCUAGACCUCUUCCUUACCUCAAACCCUUCUGCUUAUUCUGUCAAACUGUUCUCUCCGUUGGGCUCCUCCGAUCACAAUCUUAUUUCUGCAUCCUGUCCUAUCGCUCCUGUACACCCUCUGGACCCACCGAAGAGGCGAUGCUUCUGGCAUUUUGCUUCAGCUCGGUGGGACGACCUGAGGAUGUACUUUUCCGAUUUCCCGUGGAAUGAUUAUUGCUUCCAGGAUAGAGACCCCUCUGUGUGUGCUCAGCGCAUCACAGAGGUGAUUGUCUCUGGAAUGGAGGCAUACAUUCCUCGUUCUGUCUCUACUCCUCACGCUAAAAAGCCUUGGUUUAAUCACGCUUGUUCUCGUGCUGUCAAUGAUAGAGAGGUAGCUCACAAAAGGUACCAGAGCCUUCAAACUAAUGCUAAUUAUGAACUUUACAUUUCUGUCCGAAAUCGUGCCAAAUCUAUUCUCCGACUAACCAAAAAUUCUUUCAUUAAUAGAAAAUGUCAAAACCUUGCUUUCUCUUACUCUUCCCGUGACUUCUGGCAUCUAGCCAAAAACAUCUCCUCCAACUUCACUUCUUCAUCUUUCCCUCCACUCCUCAGUCCUCUAAGGCUGAACUCUUCUCUCAAACUUUUUCUAAAAACUCCACUCUGGACGAUUCUGGGCAUAUUCCUCCUACUCAUCCCCCCUCUGACUCCUUUAUGCCUGUUAUAAAGAUUCUUCAAAAUGAUGUUUUCUACGCCCUCUCUGGCCUCAAUCCUCAGAAGGUUUAUGGACCUGAUGGAGUGCCUCCUAUUGUCCUUAAAUACUGUGCCUCCGUGCUGUCACCCUGCCUGGUCAAACUCUUUCGCCUCUGCCUGUCAACAUCUACCUUUCCUUCUUGCUGGAAGUAUGCCUUCAUACAGCCUGUGCCUAAGAAGGGUGACCGCUCCAAUCCCUCAAACUACCGUCCUAUAGCUUUACUUUCUUGUCUAUCUAAAGCUUUUGAAUCAAUCCUUAACCAGAAGAUUCAAAAGCACCUUUCCACUUCUGACCUUCUAUCUGAUCGCCAGUAUGGGUUCCGCAAGGAACGUUCUACUGGUGAUCUCAUUGCCUUCCUAACUGACUCUUGGUCAUCCUCUCUUAGCCGUUUCGGUGAAACUUUUGCUAUUGCGCUGGACAUAUCAAAAGGUUUUUGAUAGGGUCUGGCACAAAUCUUUGCUUUCUAAACUACCCUCCUAUGGUUUCUAUCCUUCUCUCUGUACCUUUAUCUCCAGUUUCCUUUCUGACCGUUCUAUUUCUGCCGUGGUAGACGGUCACUGUUCUUCCCCGAAAUCUAUUAACAGUGGUGUCCCACAGGGUUCUGUUCUAUCUCCCACUCUUUUUCUGUUGUUCAUUGAUGAUCUUCUUUCCAAAACGAACUGUCCUAUCCAUUCCUACGCCGAUGAUUCCACUCUGCAUUACUCAACUUCUUUUAAUAGAAGACCCACCCUUCAGGAACUUAACGACUCAAGGCUGGAGGCUGCAGAACGCUUAGCCUCAAACCUUACUAUUAUUUCCGAUAGGGGCAAGAAGAACCUAGUGUCCUUCAACGCCUCAAAAACACAGUUUCUCCACCUAUC